rnacentral:misc_RNA from 1 species
GAUGAAGAACGUAGCGAAAUGCGAUAACUAAUGUGAAUUGCAGAAUUCCGUGAAUCAUUGAGUCUUUGAACGCACAUUGCGCCCCUUGGUAUUCCGAGGGGCAUGCCUGUUCGAGCGUCAUUAUAACCCCUCAAGCUCAGCUUGGUGUUGGGGCCUGCUGCACUGGCAGCCCUUAAAAUCAGUGGCGGCGCCAUCUGGCUCUAAGCGUAGUAAUUCUUCUCGCUAUGGAGUCCUGGUGGAUGCUUGCCAUCAACCCCCAAUUUUUCUAUGGUUGACCUCGGAUCAGGUAGGGAUACCCGCUGAACUUAAGCAUAUCAAUAAGCGGAGGA